AAAACUGUAAAAAGUAAAAUGAUCCAGUCUUCUGAUUAAAUCUUUUAAUUUUGGAAAACAGUUAAUUCUCUUAAAACUACUGUUAACAUGCAAGUAGUUCUCAAUAGUCUGAAGGAAUAAAAUAUCUUUACAUUGAAAUUAAUGCUUAAUGUAGCAAAUAUCGGUGGACAUAAUCCACAUUAACAUGAUUACAUCUGGAGUGCACACUACACUUUAACAGCAAAUAAAGAUCCUGACACCAAAACGUUUGUUUACUCCCUGAGGCAUGAAUAAAGGGGACAGUGUAACAAAGAGCGAUUGGUACAGAAGAAUAUUCCAAAGUUCCAGGUCCCCCAGCUUGGCUCUCAGAAUCUAGAGAGGUGUCUUGGGUGUGGACACAGAGCACUGGGGAUUUCCCCUUCUGCCUGAAGUUUCACUUCUCACUCUCCCAACCUGGUCCAGGUCUAUCUUCCCAGACACUCUUGACAGGGGCCCAGUUAUUACUCCUAUUGCGUGUCUUGCUCCUAGAGAAGCGAAUCAGCGUCACCUUCACCGAGGUUCAGUUCUAAAGUUUCCACCCACCCGCCUGGAUGCAGAAUCUUCACAGAGCUGCAGAAUGGGGGUAGUGGCUCCCCUAGAGCUGUUCCUGCUGCUGUUGGGGACCCUGGCCCUGACGGACAUUUGGGCAGGUGAGUGAAAGGUCAGGAGGGAAAUGGCCUCUGCGCCGGAGUAGCUGGCAACAGUCCACUUAUAGCUCAGGACCCAAGAAAGCCUAUCCUUGCAACCCCCAGCUUAGAUCCUCCCCAGCGUGGCGUGGCUGGUCCUGACCCUCCACUCUCUCCCCUAAGUCCUGCCCUCCCGCAUCCCAUCGCCCCUUUUGUAUCUCUGGAGCCUACUCCUCUCCUCCUGGUGUCGUCAACCUGGACCUGGGUUGGGCACCAGAGGAGGGUGCACUUGGUCUCAGUUUCCCAGCCUACAGGCUCCCACUCCUUGAGGUAUUUCGACACCUCGGUGUCCCGGCCGGGUCACGGGAAGCCCCGCUUCAUCUCCGUGGGCUACGUGGACGACACGCAGUUCGUGCGCUUCGACAGCGACACCGAGAAUCCCAGGGAGGAGGCGCCGGCGCCAUGGAUGGAGCAAGAGGGAUCUGNAUUACAUCUCCCUGAAUGAGGACCUGAGCUCCUGGACCUCAGCGGACGCAGCUGCCCGAAACACCCAGCGGAAGUUGGAGGCAGCCGGUGACGCAGAGCACAGCAGGGCCUACCUGGAGGGUACCUGUGUGGAGGAGCUCCUCAGAUAUCUGGAGAACGGGAAGGAGGCAUUGCAGCGCUUAGGUAUUAGAGGCUGUGGGACUCCUGCCUGAUGUCCUGUAGAUCUCUCCACUCUCUUCCCACGAGAAAGGGAGGAGAAUAACACUCACACUAGAACACCACCCUGCUCUUCCUCCAGAGGGAAGUGAGUCUGCCAGGUGCUGUACUGAGAGGAACUGAAGGCUGCUUUCUCUCAGGACAAGUAAGGGAGCUGGUCUCUCUCUCCCUGGCUGGUGGGAAAGACAAUAAAUAACUGAGCACAGUUCCCUUGGCAACAGCCUUGGCAUGUAUGGUCAGGUCCACUCCAGCCUAUUGUCUUUGAGGUGUGACUCCAACUUUUCAACAUCUCUCAGCCGCCACCCAGAUCAGAACUCUAAGUCCCCAUCAGACACCUGAAGCCUCUUACACUGGGUUGUCUUAACAAGAUUCUAGAACUUUGCAAGGAAUAGGAGAUUAUGCCAGAAGCUUCAACCCAGACUUGUGUCUAAGUUUUGUGCUCCCUCCCCAACCCAAAUUGUGCUGUCCAUUCUCCAGAUAGUUAUGUGAGCACUGCUUCAGUGAUCCAGGAGUGGUAAUGCAAAAAUAUCUGAAUUUCCCUAUUCUUUCCGUCAGACCCCCCAAAGACACAUCUGACUCACCACACUAGCCCUGACGGAGAUGUCACUCUGAAGUGCUGGGCCCUGGGAUUCUACCCUAAGGAGAUCACCCUGAACUGGCAACGAGAUGGGGAGGACCAGAUCCAGGACAUGGAACUUGUGGAGACCAGGCCUGCAGGGGAUGGAAACUUCCAGAAAUGGGCAGCUGUGGUGGUGUCUGCUGGAGAGGAGCAGAGAUACACAUGCCAUGUGCACCAUGAGGGGCUGCCUGAGCCCCUCAUCCUGAGAUGGGGUAAGGAGGGGAUGAGGGCCCAGAGCCUGUUGUCAGGAAGCAGGAGACUUUUUCUGGAGAUCUUCAGCAGGGUAGGGAUUGAGAACUGGGGAUGAGGGCCCCUCACCUAAUUUCCCUACCUCUCCCAGAGCCACCCUCUCAGCCCAUCAUGAGAAUUGUUGCUGGCCUGGUCCUCCUUGGAGCUGUUAUCACUGGAGCUGUGGUCCCUUUUGUCUUGUGGAAGAAGAAAAACACAGGUAGGAAAAGUGCAGGGUCUGAAUUUUUGUUCCACUGAUGGUUUCAAGUACCUGGUAGAAAUGUGCCCUGCCUUGUUCAUUGGAAGUAAUAGCUGCUACAUGUGUCCUUACCCGGCCUGGAAUACUGUUUAAUCUUUGUAAAACAUAUAAAAAAUAAAAGACAAGUUAUGCUUUUGGGGGAUGGGGUGGAUACCAGGGAUGAAUGCAGGGGCACUCAACCACUGAGCAACAUCCCCAGCCUUAUUUUGUAUUUUAUUUAGAGACAAUAUCUCACAGAGUUGCUUAGCACUUCACUUAUGCUAAGGCUGGCUGUAAACUCAUGAUCCUCCUGCCUUAGUCUCCUGAGGUGCUGGGAUUAUAGGCAUGGGCCACCACACCGAGCAAAUUUAUCUUCUUGAUUUUUUGUGGUGAAAAGGACCUGAUUCCCAACAUUUAGAGGCCGGGUGGGAAUUUCCUGCUCAGAGCAACCCUCCAGGAGAGAAAUUGGUGCCAUUCCUAUCUAUCUACUUUCUUCUUGUCUCCUGAUUCUUCCCUACAUCUGCAGUCACAGUUCUGGAGACUGUCCCAGUGUCCAGGACUAUGGGGCACCUCUAAGACCUGUCUUUAACCUGUUCUGUCACAGGAUGUUUUCUUCCCAAAGGAGUAAAAAAAAGGACCUAUGCUUCAGCUGCCUGUAAGUACAAAGAAUAGUGAUCCCCAAGGCCCUUGGGUUAGUGUAGUGGGAAGUGAUGGGGGAGCUGAUCCAUCCCAUAAUUCCUUCAUUAUCCACAUCUCCUGUGGACUCUGACCAGGUUCUCUUUUUGUUCUGCUCAGGUAAUGACAGUGCCCAGGACUCUGAUGUGUCUCUCACUGCUUAGACAGGUGAGAUCCUGGAGGGCCUAAAGAGAGAGAGGGGUUGGGGAAUGGGGAGACUCCUGAGUUACAGGGCCUCUCACAAGGAUUUUUGACAUUUUCAGUGUUUAAUGGGUUGUUCAGAGUGUCUUUAUUACAAUUGAGUGAUCUGAAUUUGUUCAUAAUACUUUCUUUUACAGUGAGAGACAGCUGCCUCUGUGGGACUGAACAAUACAGGAUUUCUUCAGUUCUCUUCCUGCUUCCUACUGCAAUUUCAAGGGGUCCCAACUUUUCUUUGUGCAGCUGGAAUGUAACUGUCUAUGCGUCUGUAUUCCUGUGAUAAUAAUGUGAGAAAAUGGAGAGAGGAGAAUAUCCCACCAAGACCCCUCCCACACUAUUCUGUUCUCUUCCUCAAUCAACUUUCCUAUGGUGCAAAUUGGGGCUAAGAUGUCUCCAUUCCUGAUUUAGCCUUUUGUUGCCCUGAGCUGUAGCUGCUUCUUUCCCUAUUGAAAAAAAUGAAUCUGAAUAUUGAUUUCUAUUUCAAAUUUGUGCCAUGAAAUAUGGUCAAUGGGUUAAUUAAAUGGAAGGGAGUUUCCUAAAAUCAAUAGAGAAAAUAAAACCUGAAACCUUACAGAAUCCAUGUGUUUGCUGUGCUGAGUCUGCUGUGAGUGGGGACAGGAGAAUGAUGAAAGCAGCUGAGGAUGGACAUGGUAGCACCCAGACUGGGCUCAGUCCACCCUGGGCCUUGAUGUGGUUACUCCUCAGCUGGAUCAUCUUCCCUGUACCUUAGCCCUGUCCCUUUGAUUGAACCUCAUCCCAUCAGGACCUGUGAUGACAGGGACUCAAGCAUUCCCAGGGCUGGUCCUGUCUCCAGGACCAUGGG
rnacentral:lncRNA from 1 species